rnacentral:lncRNA from 1 species
AUGUCCAUUUUGUUCAUGACCCACCCUCCAUCAAAGGGCAGAUACAACAGAGGCCCUACAGCUGGACUUCCAACUGCGUAUUUGGAAGCCCAGGGGAUUCUAAUUCCAUCAAAAUUUGAGAGGCACUGACUUCCAAGGCCACAGCUAUAAACCUUCACCACCACUUACUAGGUCUACAGCGGACUGAAGGCAAAUCACAUGUGGGGUGAAACGGCUUCUCUAAUCCAGUAUUUUCAUAUUGCUGCAAUGUGCAUUAAGUAGAUACAAAAAUAAGCAAAUUAGGGUUGGCAGAGACGUUGGCUUUAAUGGUAAAAUUAACGGAAAUGAUGAAUGGUAGGACGAUGCCUUCUCUACCUUGAGCCACUGAGCUUCCACUCCUCUCAGGAUCAUGGCAUGACUUGAGGUGAUGACCCUCAGCUACUCUGGUCACACUGUUGUGAAAACACCUAGAAAAGUUAAAAAUAUGAGUGUUGGGAAAGAGGAGAUUUGGAUGAGGGCCCUAAAUUCACUUUUUGGACCAAGGUAUGUUUUACUGGCAAACACUUUCAGUAAUGUCUGCAUGUGCAACAGAAACAUUUCCCUCGACGCUCUAAAAAGAAAAAAAGAAAAGAAGAGAAAGACGACGCGGGCCAUCGGCCUCAAGUGGAGUUCACGAAGUUGGGAGCGCUGAGAGACACCUAACUUGGGAGCUCCGGGGCCCGUAGGGCGCACAGGACGCCCGAUGUCGUCACAGGCGGAAACCAACCUCCUCCAGCCCUUCACUUGCCCAACGUCACCU